rnacentral:rRNA from 1 species
AAUGGAGGAAACUCUGAUGCAGCGAUGCCGCGUGAGUGAAGAAGGCCUUUGGGUUGUAAAGCUCUUUUGUAGGGGAAGAUAAUGACUGUACCCUAAGAAUAAGGUCCGGCUAACUUCGUGCCAGCAGCCGCGGUAAUACGAAGGGACCUAGCGUAGUUCGGAAUUACUGGGCGUAAAGCGCGCGUAGGCCGUUGAGUUAGUUAAUUGUGAAAUCCCAAAGCUUAACUUUGGAACUGCAAUUAAAACUGCUCGACUAGAGUUUGAUAGAGGAAAGCGGAAUACAUAGUGUAGAGGUGAAAUUCGUAGAUAUUAUGUAGAACACCAGUUGCGAAGGCGGCUUUCUGGAUCAACACUGACGCUGAGGCGCGAAAGUAUGGGUAGCAAAGAGGAUUAGAUACCCUCGUAGUCCAUACCAUAAACGAUGAUUGCUAGAUGUUGGAAAUUUAUUUUCAGUAUCGCAGCUAACGCAUUAAGCAAUCCGCCUGGGGAGUACGACCGCAAGGUUAAAACUCAAAUGAAUUGACGG